rnacentral:rRNA from 1 species
UACGUAGGGUGCAAGCGUUAAUCGGAAUUACUGGGCGUAAAGCGUGCGCAGGCGGUUUUGUAAGUCUGACGUGAAAUCCCCGGGCUUAACCUGGGAACUGCGUUUGAAACUACAAGGCUAGAGUGUGGCAGAGGGGGGUGGAAUUCCACGUGUAGCAGUGAAAUGCGUAGAGAUGUGGAGGAACACCGAUGGCGAAGGCAGCCCCCCUGGGUUAACACUGACGCUCAGGCACGAAAGCGUGGGGAGCAAACAGG